rnacentral:rRNA from 1 species
UACAGAGGUCUCAAGCGUUGUUCGGAUUCAUUGGGCGUAAAGGGCGCGUAGGCGGCGGGGUCAGUCGGGUGUGAAAUCUUGGGGCUUAACCCCGAAACGGCACUCGAAACUGCCCGGCUGGAGGGCCGGAGAGGAGAUCGGAAUUCACGGUGUAGCAGUGAAAUGCGUAGAGAUCGUGAGGAAGACCCGUGGCGAAGGCGGAUCUCUGGACGGCUAACUGACGCUGAGGAGCGAAAGUGUGGGGAGCGGAAUGGG